UGACAGAGGGUGCGAGCGUUGUUCGGAAUUAUUGGGCGUAAAGGGCGCGUAGGCGGUGCGGUAACGUCACCUGUGAAAUCUCCUGGCUCAACUGGGAGCUUGCAGGCGAAACUGCCGUGCUGGAGUGUGGGAGAGGUGCGUGGAAUUCCUGGUGUAGCGGUGAAAUGCGUAGAUAUCAGGAGGAACACCUGUGGCGAAAGCGGCGCACUGGACCACAACUGACGCUGAGGCGCGAAAGCUAGGGGAGCAAACAGG
rnacentral:rRNA from 1 species